GGCGGUGGCUUAACCUAAUCAGAGGCAAUUUGCCCUACUAAUCGAUAAAUCCCCGRUUAUAUCUUACUCAGGGUUGCAGUCAGCCUUGUAUACCGCCGUCAUCAGGAAAUUUUUAGAAAAUAUUUUCAAAAAUCUUUGCAGACAUAUGUCAGGUCAAGGUGCAGCUAAUACUUGAGAAGAGGUGAAUUACAAUAAAAUAAUUUAUACGAAAUGUUUAGUGGGAACUAAGCAUGAAGGUGGAUU
rnacentral:rRNA from 1 species